rnacentral:rRNA from 1 species
AUUGAACGCUGGCGGCAGGCUUAACACAUGCAAGUCGAGCGGAGAUGAGGUGCUUGCACCUUAUCUUAGCGGCGGACGGGUGAGUAAUGCUUAGGAAUCUGCCUAUUAGUGGGGGACAACAUUCCGAAAGGAAUGCUAAUACCGCAUACGUCCUACGAGAGAAAGCAGGGGAUCUUCGGACCUUGCGCUAAUAGAUGAGCCUAAGGCGGAUUAGCUAGUUGGUGGGGUAAAGGCCUACCAAGGCGACGAUCUGUAGCGGGUCUGAGAGGAUGAUCCGCCACACUGGGACUGAGACACGGCCCAGACUCCUACGGGAGGCAGCAGUGGGGAAUAUUGGACAAUGGGGGGAACCCUGAUCCAGCCAUGCCGCGUGUGUGAAGAAGGCCUUAUGGUUGUAAAGCACUUUAAGCGAGGAGGAGGCUACUGAGACUAAUACUCUUGGAUAGUGGACGUUACUCGCAGAAUAAGCACCGGCUAACUCUGUGCCAGCAGCCGCCGUAAUAC